rnacentral:rRNA from 1 species
AGGAUGAACGCUAGCGGCAGGCCUAAUACAUGCAAGUCGAACGAUACCAAGGUGCUUGCACUUUGGGAAAGUGGCGCACGGGUGCGUAACGCGUAUGCAACCUACCUUAAUCAGGGGGAUAGCCCGAAGAAAUUCGGAUUAACACCGCAUAAAGACACAGGGUAGCAUUACCUAAUGUUCAAAUAUUUAUAGGAUUAAGAUGGGCAUGCGUGUCAUUAGCUAGUUGGCGGGGUAACGGCCCACCAAGGCGACGAUGACUAGGGGAUCUGAGAGGAUCGACCCCCCACACUGGUACUGAGACACGGACCAGACUCCGUACGGGAGGCAGCAAGUAAGGAAUAUUGGUCAAAGUGGGAAGGCAACUCUAGAAACCAGCCAUGCCGCGUGCAAGGAACGACACGCCCCUCGUGGGUACGUAAAACCUGUCUUUUUAAGUUACGGGAAACUUAAAACCACCAAUUACGUAGUAUGGUGCUGAAAUGGUAACCGAAAGGAAAUAAGGAACUCGGACUAACUCCGUGCCAGCAGCCCG